UGGCGGCGUGCCUAACACAUGCAAGUCGCACGAGAAAGGGGCUUCGGCUCUGAGUAAAGUGGCGCACGGGUGAGUAACACGUGAAUUAUCUACCUUCGAGUGGGGAAUAACCUCGGGAAACCGAGGCUAAUACCGCAUAACACUUACGAGUCAAAGCAGCAAUGCGCUUGAAGAGGAGUUCGCGGCAGAUUAGUUAGUUGGCGGGGUAAUGGCCCACCAAGACGAUGAUCUGUAUCCGGCCUGAGAGGGCGCACGGACACACUGGAACUGAAACACGGUCCAGACUCCUACGGGAGGCAGCAGUGGGGAAUUUUGCGCAAUGGGGGAAACCCUGACGCAGCAACGCCGCGUGGAGGAUGAAAUCCCUUGGGAUGUAAACUCCUUUCGAUUGGGAAGAUUAUGACGGUACCAAUAGAAGAAGCCCCGGCUAACUUCGUGCCAGCAGCCGCGGUAAUACGAGGGGGGCAAGCGUUGUUCGGAAUUAUUGGGCGUAAAGGGCGCGUAGGCGGUUUGACAAGUCUGAUGUGAAAUCUCUGGGCUCAACCCAGAGUCUGCAUUAGAAACUGUCGGGCUUGAGUAUGGGAGAGGUGAGUGGAAUUUCCGGUGUAGCGGUGAAAUGCGUAGAUAUCGGAAGGAACACCUGUGGCGAAAGCGGCUCACUGGACCAUAACUGACGCUGAGGCGCGAAAGCUAGGGGAGCAAACAGGAUUAGAUACCCUGGUAGUCCUAGCCCUAAACGAUGAUUGCUUGGUGUGACAGGUACCCAAUCCUGUCGUGCCGAAGC
rnacentral:rRNA from 1 species